rnacentral:tRNA from 1 species
GCGGCUGUGGUGGAAUUUGGCAGACACGAUGCGUUCAGGUCGCAUUGCUCGAAAGGGCGUGGAGGUUCGAGUCCUCUCAGCCGCA